CACGUAGGGCGCAAGCGUUGUCCGGAAUUAUUGGGCGUAAAGAGCUCGUAGGCGGUCUGUUGCGUCCGCUGUGAAAACCCGGGGCUUAACCCCUGGCUUGCAGUGGAUACGGACAGACUAGAGGUAGGUAGGGGAGAAUGGAAUUCCCGGUGUAGCGGUGAAAUGCGCAGAUAUCGGGAGGAACACCGGUGGCGAAGGCGGGUCUCUGGGCAGUAACUGACGCUGAGGAGCGAAAGCGUGGGGAGCAAACAGG
rnacentral:rRNA from 1 species